rnacentral:misc_RNA from 1 species
GUUAACAAUAAUCAAAACUAUCUUCAUCACCAGCUUCAAAAUUCCAGCUACCAAACACCAAAUUCCAUUUUCUACCCUCAAAUUCCAGCCUCAAAUCCUCUUUUCAAUUUCCAAACAACCCCAAAUAUGUCUGGAUACUUCCCAAACUAUAGCUUUGGUACUAAUGACCAGACCCUUUUAAGAGCAGUGACUGCCAAUAUUGAAACAUCUGGGCAGGAGAAACACUGCAAGGUUGAACAAUUUUCAUCUAAUCAAUCUGUGGCCACCGUCUCACAGGACACUGGACUGAGCACUGACAUGAACACCACCACCGAGAUAUCAUCAGUGGUGUCGAAGCAAGACUUCGGAAACAACAAGGUGUACGAUGAUCUUGAAGGUCCAUCAUCAGUUGGGCCCAUUGCAGACUUCGAUGGCAUGUGGGAUUAAUAAAGAUGGAUGGAAUAUAUACUGAGUACUGCCUGUUCUAUAAAAUUCUUAGGGAAUAUAUGUGAUGAUUUGAAACAAUCUUCUUCUCUCCACUAGGUAAUUUGAUGAUAGUUUUAAAAGUUCUUG